GAUGAACGCUGGCGGCGUGCCUAAUACAUGCAAGUCGAGCGAACAGACGAGGAGCUUGCUCCUCUGACGGUAGCGGCGGACGGGUGAGUAACACGUGGAUAACCUACCUAUAAGACUGGGAUAACUUCGGGAAGCCGGAGCUAAUACCGGAUAAUAUAUUGAACCGCAUGGUUCAAUAGUGAAAGACGGUUUUGCUGUCACUUAUAGAUGGAUCCGCGCCGCAUUAGCUAGUUGGUAAGGUAACGGCUUACCAAGGCAACGAUGCGUAGCCGACCUGAGAGGGUGAUCGGCCACACUGGAACUGAGACACGGUCCAGACUCCUACGGGAGGCAGCAGUAGGGAAUCUUCCGCAAUGGGCGAAAGCCUGACGGAGCAACGCCGCGUGAGUGAUGAAGGUCUUCGGAUCGUAAAACUCUGUUAUUAGGGAAGAACAACUGUGUAAGUAACUAUGCCCGUCUUGACGGUACCUAAUCAGAAAGCCACGGCUAACUACGUG
rnacentral:rRNA from 1 species